CAGCAGCCGCGGUAAUACGUAGGGUGCAAGCGUUAAUCGGAAUUGCUGGGCGUAAAGCGUGCGCAGGCGGUUAUAUAAGACAGAUGUGAAAUCCCCGGGCUCAACCUGGGAACUGCAUUUGUGACUGUAUAGCUAGAGUACGGCAGAGGGGGAUGGAAUUCCGCGUGUAGCAGUAAAAUGCGUAGAUAUGCGGAGGAACACCGAUGGCGAAGGCAAUCCCCUGGGCCUGUACUGACGCUCAUGCACGAAAGCGUGGGGAGCAAACAGGAUUAGAUACCCGUGUAGUCCCUGUCUCUUAUAC
rnacentral:rRNA from 1 species